rnacentral:tRNA from 1 species
AAGGAUUUAAGUUAAGAGCAAACUUUUAGCCUUCAAAGCUAAUAAUAGGAUAAACCUAAGCCUUA